rnacentral:tRNA from 1 species
AGGGGUGUAGCUCCAGCGGUAGAGCGAGCGACUCCAAAUCGCUAGGUCGUGGGUUCGAAUCCCUCCGCCCCUGCCA